UGGGGAAUUUUGGACAAUGGGCGCAAGCCUGAUCCAGCAAUGCCGCGUGCAGGAUGAAGGCCUUCGGGUUGUAAACUGCUUUUGUACGGAGCGAAAAGGUCUGCCCUAAUACGGUGGGCUCAUGACGGUACCGUAAGAAUAAGCACCGGCUAACUACGUGCCAGCAGCCGCGGUAAUACGUAGGGGGCUAGCGUUGCUCGGAAUUACUGGGCGUAAAGCGUGCGCAGGCGGUUAUGCAAGACAGAGGUGAAAUCCCCGGGCUCAACCUGGGAACUGCAUUUGUGACUGCAUAGCUAGAGUACGGCAGAGGGGGAUGGAAUUCCGCGUGUAGCAGUGAAAUGCGUAGAUAUGCGGAGGAACACCGAUGGCGAAGGCAAUCCCCUGGACCUGUACUGACGCUCAUGCACGAAAGCGUGGGGAGCAAACA
rnacentral:rRNA from 1 species